CGUGUAGGCGGAUUGAUAAGUUUGAAGUGAAAUCCUAUAGCUUAACUAUAGAACUGCUUUGAAAACUGUUAAUCUAGAAUGUGGGAGAGGUAGAUGGAAUUUCUGGUGUAGGGGUAAAAUCCGUAGAGAUCAGAAGGAAUACCGAUUGCGAAGGCGAUCUACUGGAACAAUAUUGACACUGAGACGCGAAAGCGUGGGGAGCAAACA
rnacentral:rRNA from 1 species